rnacentral:rRNA from 1 species
CCUACGGGUGGCUGCAGUGAGGAAUAUUGGUCAAUGGGCGCGAGCCUGAACCAGCCAAGUAGCGUGCAGGAUGACUGCCCUACGGGUUGUAAACUUCUUUUAUAAAGGAAUAAAGUGAGGCACGUGUGCCUUUUUGUAUGUACCUUAUGAAUAAGGAUCGGCUAACUCCGUGCCAGCAGCCGCGGUAAUACGGAGGAUCCGAGCGUUAUCCGGAUUUAUUGGGUUUAAAGGGUGCGUAGAUGGGUUGUUAAGUCAGUUGUGAAAGUUUGCGGCUCAACCGUAAAAUUGCAAUUGAUACUGGCAGUCUUGAGUACAGUUGAGGUAGGCGGAAUGCGUGGUGUAGCGGUGAAAUGCUUAGAUAUCACGAAGAACUCCGAUUGCGAAGGCAGCUUACUAAACUGCAACUGACAUUGAGGCACGAAAGUGUGGGUAGCAAACAGGAUUAGAUACCCUAGUAGUC